CGGAAACUACUGUGGGUUUGAGGUUGAAAUUCCUGAGAUAGAAACUUUAGAAAGAAAAUGAGAAAAGGAAGCAAACCAAGAACAGUUAAUUCAGCUACCACAACAUAGCAGCAGCGGCAGCAACAACCACCAGUGAUUGUUCUUUUCUGACUGUUUAUUGGAUCCCUCUUUUCUCCUUUGGCACCCUACACAGGGAAAUGGGCAAUUGAACUUUUCUUUUUUUAUAUGUGUAGGUUACUUUUGCUUAUUUUGGUUCUCCAGAUCAAUACCCAGAUCUUGUUACCUUUUCAUCGAGCUAAAUUAUUCUCAUCUUUGAAGGAGAGAGAGACAGUUUUAGAGGGACAACAAUAUGGGUCGGAUUAUCUCGGUGGUGGAAAACUAGUUCUGGCUUGAAAUUGUUUUGCUGUUUUCUCUUCAUUUUGCCUCCACAGAUUGUCUCUCUUCUCUAUUGUUGUCGCUGCUUUUGCUUUUCUAGGAGUGUGUGUUGGAUAGGUUCAGGUGUCUGAGCAGGAGAUAUUAUACGCCAUUUAAGUAAUGAUCAAACAGAUAUUCAAUAGGUUCCCAAGGAAGCCAUCUAAGUCAUCUGAGAAUCGUGAGGGAGGUGGAACCUCUACCUCCUCAUCAAAUGCUUUUUCUAGCUCAAGAAACAAUGAUUUAUCCGGCAAUCGUUAUGCAAGCCAAGGUGCUACAUCAUUAGCAGGGUUUAAUUCAACUUCAAAUUUAGGAUCAAAUUAUGGCAAUAAGCUUUCCCAAGUUGUUAAUUCAAAGCUGAAUGGGAGUCAGCCUCCUCCUUAUGAGGCCUUGCCUAGUUUUAGAGAUGUUCCUAAUUCUGAGAAGCAGAAUUUGUUUAUCCGAAAGCUGAACUUAUGUUGCUUUGUGUUUGACUUCAGUGACCCUACUAAGAACUUCAAAGAGAAGGACAUCAAGCGACAAACACUGGUAGAGCUUGUGGAUUAUGUUUCUUCUGCAAAUGGGAAAUUCUCAGAAACUAUGAUGCAAGAAAUGAUUAAGAUGGUGUCCUCAAAUUUGUUUAGAAUACUCUCUUCUCCGCCACGUGAGAACAAAAUUUUGGAAGCCUAUGAUUUGGAAGAGGAUGAGCCCUCAAUGGACCCUGCAUGGCCUCAUUUGCAAGUUGUGUAUGAAUUUCUUCUGAGGUUUAUAGCAUCACCUGAGACAGAUGCAAAAUUGGCUAAGAGGUACAUUGAUCACUCUUUUGUUCUCAGGUUGUUAGAUCUUUUUGAUUCGGAGGAUCCUAGAGAGAGGGAGUAUUUGAAAACGGUUCUGCACCGUAUUUAUGGGAAAUUCAUGGUGCACCGGCCAUUCAUCAGGAAAGCAAUUAACAACAUCUUUUAUCGUUUAAUAUUUGAAACUGAGAAGCAUAAUGGGAUUGCUGAGCUAUUGGAGAUUCUGGGAAGUAUAAUUAAUGGGUUUGCCCUGCCUCUGAAAGAAGAGCACAAGCUUUUUCUUGUUCGAGCACUCAUUCCAUUACACAAGCCAAAAUGCUUACCUAUGUACCACCAGCAAUUAUCAUACUGCAUUACACAGUUU
rnacentral:misc_RNA from 1 species